AUUGAACGCUGGCGGCAUGCCUAACACAUGCAAGUCGAACGAGUGGCGGACGGGUGAGUAAUGUCUGUGAAACUGCCCGAUGGAGGGGGAUAACUACUGGAAACGGUAGCUAAUACCGCAUACCAUCGGAUGUGCCCACGUGGGAUUAGCUAGUAGGUGGGGUAAUGGCUCACCUAGGCGACGAUCCCUAGCUGGUCUGAGAGGAUGACCAGCCAAACGGGAACUGAGACACGGUCCAGACGCCUACGGGAGGCAGCAGUGGGGAAUAUUGCACAAUGGGCGAAAGCCUGAUGCAGCCAUGCCGCGUGUAUGAAGAAGGCCUUCGGGUUGUAAAGUACUUUCAGCGAGGAGGCGUUACUCGCAGAAGAAGCACCGGCUAACUCCGUGCCAGCAGCCGCGGUAAUUC
rnacentral:rRNA from 1 species